rnacentral:rRNA from 1 species
UACGUAGGGUGCGAGCGUUGUCCGGAAUUAUUGGGCGUAAAGCGCACGUAGGCGGCCUUUCAAGUCGGACGUGAAAGCCCCGGGCUUAACCCGGGAAUUGCGUUUGAUACUGUUGGGCUUGAGACCGGGAGAGGAUAGCGGAAUUCCCAGUGUAGAGGUGAAAUUCGUAGAUAUUGGGAAGAACACCAGUGGCGAAGGCGGCUAUCUGGACCGGUACUGACGCUGAGGUGCGAAAGCGUGGGGAGCAAACAGG